GUGCAUAGGGGGGUCUUACCAUGACAGUCGAGCGGUAAGGCCCUUCGGGGUACACGAGCGGCGAACGGGUGAGUAACACGUGAGCAACCUGCCCCCGACUCCGGGAUAAGCGGUGGAAACGCCGUCUAAUACCGGAUACGACCGGCCACCUCAUGGCGGCCGGUGGAAAGUUUUUCGGUUGGGGAUGGGCUCGCGGCCUAUCAGCUUGUUGGUGGGGUAAAGGCCUACCAAGGCGAUUACGGGUAGCCGGCCUGAGAGGGCGACCGGCCACACUGGGACUGAGACACGGCCCAGACUCCUGCGGGAGGCAGCAGUGGGGAAUAUUGCGCAAUGGGCGAAAGCCUGACGCAGCGACGCCGCGUGGGGGAUGACGGCCUUCGGGUUGUAAACCUCUUUUACCACCAACGCAGGCUCCCAGUUCUCUGGGGGUUGACGGUAGGUGGGGAAUAAGGACCGGCUAACUACGUGCCAGCAGCCGCGGUAAUACGUAGGGUCCGAGCGUUGUCCGGAAUUAUUGGGCGUAAAGAGCUCGUAGGCGGCGUGUCGCGUCUGCUGUGAAAGACCGGGGCUUAACCCCGGUUCUGCAGUGGAUACGGGCAUGCUAGAGGUAGGUAGGGGAGACUGGAAUUCCUGGUGUAGCGGUGAAAUGCGCAGAUAUCAGGAGGAACACCGGUGGCGAAGGCGGGUCUCUGGGCCUUACCUGACGCUGAGGAGCGAAAGCAUGGGGAGCGAACAGGAUUAGAUACCCUGGUAGUCCAUGCCGUAAACGUUGGGCGCUAGGUGUGGGGACUUUCCACGGUUUCCGCGCCGUAGCUAACGCAUUAAGCGCCCCGCCUGGGGAGUACGGCCGCAAGGCUAAAACUCAAAGGAAUUGACGGGGGCCCGCACAAGCGGCGGAGCAUGUUGCUUAAUUCGACGCAACGCGAAGAACCUUACCAAGGUUUGACAUCACCCGUGGACCUGCAGAGAUGUGGGGUCAUUUAGUUGGUGGGUGACAGGU
rnacentral:rRNA from 1 species